UCUCCGGGAAUGAUUUUGGUAGGAGCCAAGUUUUGUGAGAUAUAUAAGCCAUGUUGAUUAAUUGAAUAAACUGAAUAUUCAUGUUAUGAAACAUAUAUUGGAAAAGAAUAUUUUAAUUCGUCUCAAUUUACUCGCCUUUAGAUAGUUUAGAUGGUGUCUGUUUACUCACUGGGAUUUUACAAUCUCACCACCCUCAAUUCCCCACAUUUCAGGCUUGAGAUAGCCGGUAGAUAGCCGAUUGCAUCAAGGACUUCAGUUAGCCUUGCAUCGACAAAAUUGUAGGUUCACAGACUCGCACCUUAUUGGUUAGUUGAGGGCCCACGUGUCACUGUAAAAGAAAUUUUAUACUUCAGUUAUCUGCUUUAAA
rnacentral:lncRNA from 1 species